rnacentral:lncRNA from 1 species
AAGGCCCAUCCAGGUACAAGAGCAGAAUCCAGAGCCAGGUUUGCCAGAUGUGAAGGCAUCACUGUGGUUCAGGGAGAGUAUAGUAUUUUGAGACUUGGCUUUAUGCUACUUUAGUAUCCAUGUAUUUUCAGGCAGAGACAGAUUUCUCUGUCUCUAGAGAGUCCUUACUGUCUUGAAAUCAAGGAGGGGGGAUGUGAUGGUUGGUCAGAUGGUUUUAGAUUGUCUUGUUUUUUGUUUGUCUUUUGUUUUUGUUUUUGUUUUUUGAGAUAGGGUGUCACUGUGUAGCUGUCUGGUUGUCCGGGAACUUACUGUGUAAAUCAGGCUAGCCUCGAAAUCACAGAGAUCCCCCUGCCUCUGCCUCCCAAGUGCUGGGAUUAAAUUCAUGCACUUCUAUACUUGGUUACCAGUUUUAAUAUUCAACUUGACCCACUCUAGAAUCACCUAGGAAGAGAGUCUUGGUGAAGGCUUGUCUAGAUAGGUCGGCCUGUGAGCAGGUCUGUAGUGGACUGUCUCAGUGUGGAACGCUGAAGUCUGAAAGUAUGUGGCACCUUUUCCUGGUAUCAUAGUUAGGGUUUCUUUGCUAUGGUGAAACACCAUGACCAAAAAGGAAGCUGGGGAGGAAAGGCCUUAUUUGGCUUAUACUUCCAUGUUGUUUUUCAUCAUUUAAGGAAGUCAGGAGAGGAACUCAAACAAGGACAGGAACCUGGAAGCAGGAGCUGAUGCAGAGGUCAUGGAGGUCUGCUGUUUACUGGCUUACUCAGCCAGUUGUCUUAUAGAACCCAGACCACCAGCCCAGUGAUGUCUCCACACACAAUGGGCUGGGCCCUCCCCCAUCAAUCCCUAAUUAAGAAAAUUCUUUUUGGCCUACAGAGAUGGCUCAGCGGUUAAGAGCACUGACUGCUCUUCCAGAGGUGCUGAGUUCAAUUCCCAGCAAACACAUAGUGGCUCACAACCAUCUGUAAUGGGACCCGAUGCCCUCUUCUGGUGUGUCUGAAGACAGCGAAGUGUACUCCUGUACAUAAAAUAAAUAAAUAAAUCUUU